ACAGCCCGGGCUCGGGAGGACGCGCGCGCGGCGCACCCAGAAGCAGGGAUCGCUCAGGAUUUCUCUAACUUCAGGAACAGCCGCUACCCUCCCCCAGCCCAUCUCACUGGAGCAGCCGUGAAGCAGAAAGACCUGCUCGCUGGAGAAACUGACAAUAAAAGUGACAAUAACGA